UACAGAGGUGGCAAGCGUUGUUCGGAAUUACUGGGCGUAAAGGGCGCGUAGGCGGUCCUGUAAGUCCUGUGUGAAAUCCCUCGGCUCAACUGAGGAACUGCACGGGAUACUGCGAGACUUGAGUUCGGGAGAGGGAAGCGGAAUUCCAGGUGUAGCGGUGAAAUGCGUAGAUAUCUGGAGGAACACCGGUGGCGAAGGCGGCAUUCUGGACCGAUAUUGACGCUGAGGAGCGAAAGCCAGGGGAGCAAACGGG
rnacentral:rRNA from 1 species